AGGUAGGGAUACCCGCUGAACUUAAGCAUAUCAAUAAGCGGAGGAAAAGAAACCAACAGGGAUUGCCUUAGUAACGGCGAGUGAAGUGGCAAAAGCUCAGAUUUGAAAUCUGAUGUCAAUUUGGCAUCUGAGUUGUAAUCUGUAGAGGAGUAUUCAAGUAUGACUUUAGCAUAAGUUUUCUUAGAAUAGAGCAUCAUAGAAGGUGAGAAUCCUGUCUAUAGUUAAAGUUUUAUGCUUAUAUGAAUCUCCUUCAAUGAGUCGAGUUGUUUGGGAAUGCAGCUCUAAAUUGGUGGUAAAUUCCAUCUAAAGCUAAAUAUUGGCAAGAGACCGAUAGUGCACAAGUAGAGUGAUCGAAAGAUGAAAAGAACUCUGAACAGAGAGUUAAAUAGUACGUGAAAUUGUUGAAAGGGAAGCACUUGCAACUAGAUAUAUUUAGAACUAAUCAAUUACUAUUUAUUAGUGAUGCACUUAGUUUUAAAUAUGUCAAUAUGAGUUAUCAUAAGCAGGAAAAAAAUUGAUGGAAUGUAGCUCUCUUCGGGGAGUGUUAUAGCCGUUAAUUGAAUACUGCUCGUUAUGACUGAGGA
rnacentral:rRNA from 1 species